AGACAGUUGAUAUAUAAACAUAUAGUAAUAUGUAGUAAUAAUAUUUAGUAUAGUAAAUAAUGAUAAUAUAUUUAUAAUUCAUAAUGUGAUAAUAAUGAAUAAUCAGCGCAAAUAAACGCUAUUAGAGUUUAUUAAAAUUAUUUAGAUCAAAGCUAUUAUCGAGAGAAUCGAAAAUAACUUUGUACACCGGUUUAGGCCUAUAAUAACACACGGAUGUGAAACUUGUGCAACUACGAAGGGUGAGUAUUCAAAAAUUAGUACGAUAGAUAGAAAAGUACUUGGAAAAAUAUUUGGCCUAAUGUGUAAUAUGGAAUUGAGAGUUUACGAAAGAAAACAUGUGAAAAUUGAUGUGCAUAACAUGUAUAAAAGACUUAAAAUUGUAUAAUUUAGUAAAAGUAAAAGAAUGGUUCGAGCAUGUAUGGAGAUCAAAUGGUUCAAGCUUGUAUGGAGAUCAAAUGGUUCGAGUACGUAUGGAGAUCAAAUAAGAAAAUAAUUAAACAAGUUACAGAAGAAAGAGUUACAGGCAAAAUACCUCCAGGAAGACCGAAAAUACGAAAGAUAUGGUGGAAAAAGAUUUAGAAAUGGUCAACGAAAAUAUACAAAUAAUUGAUAUUGUGACGGCAGCGAUAGGAGUUCAUGGCCCGCUAAACUGUAAAAGAGGAAGAAUAAUAUGACGAAUUAUUCUAAUAUUAUUUCAAAAUUAUAUCAAAGAAAGUAGAUUCAACUUUAUUUUUAAUUUAUAAAUUAUUUUUCUUAGUUUUUAAUGGUACCAUUAGAACAGUGGUUCCGUGGUUCCCAAUUUUUUUUUAUUCUACGCUCUCUUUGUAGAUUUCUAAAAAUUGCAUUCCCCCCCUUCUCACCACUAAAUUGAUAAACUUGAUUACCUUUUCUUUCAGUAUACUUAUUAUUUUAUUAACAACAAUAAUUAUAAAAAAAGACGGACAUACAUAGAGAGGAAUUUAAUUUAUAUCUGUACGCAACGAUAAACUAUUACUCAGGAAAAACGAUGUGGAGCGAAGUUCGGUUGUACAUGUUUUGAAAGGCCGUAAUAUUUAUGAUUUUCAUCGAAAUUUGAUAUUAUAAAUCGCAUACAAAAAAAAUAUUACUUUAAACUCAAUUUAACUCACUUUCUUUUUCUUUUGACUGCAAAGUACGACUUAUUAAUGAACCUCCUGUUGAGUUUUCAAGCAUUUCUGAUUAGUCUAAUAAUUUUAUCCACAGAGCACAUAUCAAAUAAAAAUUACGUAAAAACUCGUAACAUAUCUAAAUCAUAAAUUUGUCUGUACUUUCUAAGUAUUUUUCAGUUUGAUCAAUUAUUAUAAAUGUUACAUGGAUAAUCAAAAAACAACCUUCUUCUUCUAGAUUCAAAAUGUAACAAGAUGCAUUUUUCGUUGGAUUUUAAUUAAAGAUCUCUAUGAGAAAAUUUAAGUUAUAAAUAAUGGAUCCACAUCACCCGAUGUGUGAGCCACUAUUGUAGAUGAGAAGUUG